AAAUUGAAGAGUUUGAUCAUGGCUCAGAUUGAACGCUGGCGGCAGGCCUAACACAUGCAAGUCGAACGGUAACAGGAAGCAGCUUGCUGCUUUGCUGACGAGUGGCGGACGGGUGAGUAAUGUCUGGGAAACUGCCUGAUGGAGGGGGAUAACUACUGGAAACGGUAGCUAAUACCGCAUAACGUCGCAAGACCAAAGAGGGGGACCUUCGGGCCUCUUGCCAUCGGAUGUGCCCAGAUGGGAUUAGCUAGUAGGUGGGGUAACGGCUCACCUAGGCGACGAUCCCUAGCUGGUCUGAGAGGAUGACCAGCCACACUGGAACUGAGACACGGUCCAGACUCCUACGGGAGGCAGCAGUGGGGAAUAUUGCACAAUGGGCGCAAGCCUGAUGCAGCCAUGCCGCGUGUAUGAAGAAGGCCUUCGGGUUGUAAAGUACUUUCAGCGGGGAGGAAGGGAGUAAAGUUAAUACCUUUACUCAUUGACGUUACCCGCAGAAGAAGCACCGGCUAACUCCGUGCCAGCAGCCGCGGUAAUACGGAGGGUGCAAGCGUUAAUCGGAAUUACUGGGCGUAAAGCGCACGCAGGCGGUUUGUUAAGUCAGAUGUGAAAUCCCCGGGCUC
rnacentral:rRNA from 1 species